CAAGUCGAACGGCAGCGCGGGGCAACCUGGCGGCGAGUGGCGAACGGGUGAGUAAUAUAUCGGAACGUACCCUGGAGUGGGGGAUAACGUAGCGAAAGUUACGCUAAUACCGCAUACGAUCUAAGGAUGAAAGUGGGGGACCGCAAGGCCUCACGCUCCUGGAGCGGCCGAUAUCUGAUUAGCUAGUUGGUGGGGUAAAGGCCUACCAAGGCAUCGAUUAGUAGCUGGUCUGAGAGGACGACCAGCCACACUGGAACUGAGACACGGUCCAGACUCCUACGGGAGGCAGCAGUGGGGAAUUUUGGACAAUGGGCGCAAGCCUGAUCCAGCAAUGCCGCGUGAGUGAAGAAGGCCUUCGGGUUGUAAAGCUCUUUUGUCAGGGAAGAAAAAGGCGCGGAUUAAUAAACUGCGCUCAUGACGGUGCCUGAAGAAUAAGCACCGGCUAACUACGUGCCAGCAGCCGCGGUAAUACGUAGGGUGCAAGCGUUAAUCGGAAUUACUGGGCGUAAAGCGUGCGCAGGCGGUUUUGUAAGUUUGUCGUGAAAUCCCCGGGCUCAACCUGGGAAUUGCGAUGAAGACUGCAAGGCUAGAAUCUGGCAGAGGGGGGUAGAAUUCCACGUGUAGCAGUGAAAUGCGUAGAGAUGUGGAGGAACACCGAUGGCGAAGGCAGCCCCCUGGGUCAAGAUUGACGCUCAUGCACGAAAGCGUGGGGAGCAAACAGGAUUAGAUACCCUGGUAGUCCACGCCCUAAACGAUGUCUACUAGUUGUCGGGUCUUAAUUGACUUGGUAACGCAGCUAACGCGUGAAGUAGACCGCCUGGGGAGUACGGUCGCAAGAUUAAAACUCAAAGGAAUUGACGGGGACCCGCACAAGCGGUGGAUGAUGUGGAUUAAUUCGAUGCAACGCGAAAAACCUUACCUACCCUUGACAUGUACGGAAGCCUGGAGAGAUUUGGGCGUGCUCGAAAGAGAGCCGUAACACAGGUGCUGCAUGGCUGUCGUCAGCUCGUGUCGUGAGAUGUUGGGUUAAGUCCCGCAACGAGCGCAACCCUUGUCAUUAGUUGCUACGAAAGGGCACUCUAAUGAGACUGCCGGUGACAAACCGGAGGAAGGUGGGGAUGACGUCAAGUCCUCAUGGCCCUUAUGGGUAGGGCUUCACACGUCAUACAAUGGUACAUACAGAGGGCCGCCAACCCGCGAGGGGGAGCUAAUCCCAGAAAGUGUAUCGUAGUCCGGAUUGUAGUCUGCAACUCGACUACAUGAAGUUGGAAUCGCUAGUAAU
rnacentral:rRNA from 1 species